CAGAUGGGGACUUAGUAUUGCAAACAUUGAGAUACCAGGAACUGGUAAUUGGCAAGAGGUUGUGUGUGUGUUUUUUAACUUACAGGGAGGGGUAAAUCCAUAUUAAAAGGUGGGGAGGGGGGCAUACAGGCUAACAUCAUGUGGAUGCUGGGGGGGAGGACUUGCAUGCAUGGAAAGCAUGCAUCUGACAAUAAAUAUCAUUUCUUUUUAUAUUUGUUCCUGCUCUCCUGUGCCCAUUCACAAAUACGCUGCUGCUUCUUUGCCUCCCUUUCUUCCUUUUUUUGAUGACGCUAAUUAAGUCAUGACUUCAGAAGGAAUAAAGAAAGAGGAAGGAGCAAAAGAGCACUGGCAGAAUCUCUCACGUUUCUGCUGCCACCUUGGCAUCCAGCGGUAACGGAAGCUGAACAGUCUUGGCCUCUGCAUGCAAUUUGCAGAUGGUAACAUUAAGAUCUGUUUGUUCUCAAGCUGCACGUCAAGCAGGUAAUGUGUCUGAGAAAUUCUCUUCAGCGUUGCUCAAAAGAAAGAGGGGAAAGGGGCUGUGAAUUUAUUCUGUCAGCUCUGUUUGUGUAUGUUUUCUGGUGCUAAGCUCCUAAGGCGUGAAAGAGAAUUUCAAAGAGCAAUUCCUGGGUAGUGGUGCUUAGGGAACAACACUGAUGUGCAGAUGUUUUGCUUAGGCCUGUAUUCCAGCAACUCACAAGGCUAACCAGGGUAGGGGCCAAGUAGCCGCAGAAGAUGCAGGCAAUACUUUCUGUUCUGAUCCUGGUUCCAGUUCAGGUGAACCUAGAUUGAAUUGAUUGGGUUUAUCAAUCCCAUAUUUGCAUUCCACUUGAUUUCUUCAAGGCUCACAGCUAGCAAGUGUAGAGGUUCCUUAUAGCCACGCAAUUCUACGAUGGUGAGCACUGAAGCUUCAGUUCUGAUUGCAGGGGAUUUAAGUCCCCGUUGGCUGAAAUCCCAGGACAUCCCAGGAUGGGAUCAGGAGCCAGGGUGGUUCCUGUAAUUCUGGGAUGUCCCAGUUAAAACAGGACACUUGUGCGGUAUGUUGAUCAUGAAGGAAAUUCAUUGGACAUAAUACAUUGGGAAUGUUUCCUGCACCUAUUUCUCAUUGGAGAUGAUCGUGAUGAUGAUAAAUAGCAGACUUUUAAUAAUAAUAGAAAAUUUAUAUGUUUAGUAUCCUUUGUGACUUGACCUGCAUCUUUCUUUUGUUAUUAAGCCUGUGCCUGCUCUAUUGUUCAUAUUUAUGAAGUCAGAAUCCUGUUUCUCAGCAAUGAUUAUUAUGAUUAUUCUUCUAUUCUUUUACUUCAAACUCAUUUUUUAAAAAAAGCACUAGGAACUGUUGACUUAAACCUGUCUGCGUAUAGUGUUUUGUACUUUGACUAGCACACUGUUAUUCUGAACGCUCCAUUGUCCUGUUCAGUGUUUGCUCGAGUAUGCACAUACUUUCCCACCAUAAAAGUAGAUCAUCUCUCAAACUUGCCAGGGACUUAAUUUGAACCCGAGUCACCUUGGUGCCAGACCAGUGUUUUCAUUUGCUUGCUUACAAAUAUGAUAUCUGCAGUUGCUAAGCUGCUGAAUGAGCAUCAUCCAGCCAUGGGUGGCUGAUAUACUAUGAUGUCAUAAUGAGCCUUGGCAGAUAGAGAUGUCACAGAGGUGCUGAGUAGUUUAGGUGAGUAGUCUAGGAUUAGAGAGAAGAGGGGCUGUAUCUCAGAAGAUGAAGAUCCCAGAUUCCCAGAUUCAUUUUCUGUCAUCUUCAAGUAAGACUGAGGUGGUGUCGGUCAGAUCGGUCCGAAGCUCAGUGGACAUCCUCAUUGUAGGAAUCUACAGAAGACGACCGGUCUCGCUGGAUGUGGUGAGUUGUCCUUUCGGUACGUGGGCUGUGGGCCACCUCAUGAGUGUUAUCCUUCUCAAAGACCAUGGCCAUAGUCAUUGCUUCCAUCAUCGUGAUAUCAUCUUGCACGUUACUGAUGAACCUUUCAAUAAGUCGUUCCUCGAUGUCAGUGAAUCGGCAGUACAUUGCAAUCGCCUGGAGUGCUGUGAUGUAUUCACUCAUUGACUCUUGUGCUUGUUGUUCUCUGUGCGCAAUGUCAUAGAGGCGGUGGUUCUUAGUUGGCUGAGGCGCAAGGUGUCUUGUCAUAGCCUGUGUCAGCUCAUCGAAAGUGCAUGCCUCUAUGUCCCUGGGUGCCAUCAGACCUUCUAGUAGAGUGAUGGCGGAACUUCCCAGCACUGUCAGUAGCACAUCCAUGACUUCCUUUAUGGUCGGCCUUUCACUAUUGUUACUGACCACAAGCCACUCCUGGGACUCUCUGCACCUGACCGCCAGACACCCCAGAUGCUUUCGCCACGAGUAUUGCGCUGGUCCAUUUUCCUGGCCGAUUACCAAUACUCGCUACAGCACUGACCCAGGAAAGCCAUGGGUCACGCAGAUGCACUCAGCUGCUAGCCACUGUCGGAGAGCGGCCCUGACCCUGCUCCUGCCCGCCAGAUCCUGCGGCUGGAAGACUUACCGGACCAGCCCUUGCAUGUGAAGUACAUUGCACCCGCAACCACGAAGGAUAGGCUAUUGUCCCGCGUCUUGGACUGGGUGGGGAGGGGGUGGCCCAGGAAGCCGGGUGCAGAAAUUUCAUUCUACACAGCCUGCAAGGACAAGCUGUCUACUCACCAAGGAUGCCUGUUAUGGGGUAGCCAUGUUAUAGUCCGUCCGUCCCGUUAAGGAAAAAAGUCUUAGAAGGGCUGCAGGUGUCUCACCUGGGGAUCAUCUGGAUGAAGGCAUUGGCCUGUAGCUAUCUGUGGUGGCCAGGCAUAGAUGCGGAGAUAGAGGGCUGGGUGAAACGUGAGCCCUGCCAUGUCUCCCGGCCGGAUCCACCCAAGGACCAGUACAGUCCUGGGAGUCCACACAGUCCCCAUGGUCCCGGGUGCACGUGGAUUUCACGGGGCCUUUUCAGGGCCAACACUUCCUAAUAGUGGUUGACUCUCAGUCCAAGUGGCUCGAGGUGGUGCCGACCUUAACUGUGUCCGCUAGAGCGACUAUAAACGCGCUCAGGAAGCUAUUCGCGACACACGGCUUGCCAGACACACUGGUGAGUGAUAAUUGGACCGCUUUUACUUCGGCGGAAUUCAAAGAAUUUGUAACCAAGAAUGGAAUCCACCACAUUCGUUCCGCUCCUUUUCACCUGGCCACUAACGGCCAAGCUGGAUGCAUGGUCCAUACUACCAAAGAUGCGCUUAGGCGCAUAGUGCAUGGAGAUUGGACUCUCCGGCUAGCGGAGUUCUUAUUGGCCCAACACAUCACCCCAAGCACAGUGACCGGCCGGAGCCUGGCGGAGUUACUUAUGGGAAGGAGGCUCACUACCCUCCUUGAUCGUAUGCACCCCGACUGGGCUCUUGAGCAACGGCCAUCUGCUGUGGUGCAGGGGGCUCCAAGAGGGUUCUCCCCUGGGGACACUGUGUACGUCCGAAACUAUGGGCCCAGACAGGGUUGGGUCCCAGGUAUCAUUGCUCACUGUACAGUUCCGGCUUCCUACAAGGUAGGUUUGGAGGGGGGACUGGUUUGGAAGAGACACAUCGACCAGAUCAGAGCCAGGACACCUCCGAACACGGAACUCCAAUUGGAACCAGAGGACAGAGAAAUGGGUAUUUCAGGAGAUUCUGUGCCCAGGCCAGAGUGGGAACCAGACGGGUUGCCAGUGAUUGAGUUACCCCAGCAGGGCGACUUCAGGCUGGAAUCCUCAGUGGCUCCAUCGGCAGUAACCCCUUCGGAGCCGGCCUCGCUGACUGCCCCACUCAGACCACGGGUACCGGAGGAACCUCCUGGGUCACCCACUCGGGCACAGGAACCAUAACGGUCCCAGCGGGAGCGGAAAAGGCCAGCACACCUUGAUGACUAUGUUUGUUCCUUUUGUUAGGAAGUUGGGGGGAGGAGUGUUAUGUAUUGGGUUUAACACUUUUUAUGUUACAAGACGCAUUCUAACCAACUGUAUAAGCGUUGGAAGACGAAUGUUCUAAUGGCAAGUAAGCGCAUGCACUGUCAACUGUCAACUGUCAACAGUCAGUUCAUGUUAGGGCUUUUAUUUUGUAGUCCUGUGAGUUCGGGUUUUGUCUUCCUAUGAGUGAGCCAUUGUCACUGACAAUGUUGAAUAAACGUAGUUGAGAAACUUAUACUGCCUUGGGCUUCUGACUUUUCCCAAACAUUUAACAUUUGCCAUCACCCUAGCCCGGGCCUUCGCCUUCGCCCUAGCCUGGGCAUUUGCCUUUGCCUUUGCCAUGGCCCAGGCCUUUGGCUUUGGCAUGGUUCAGGCCUUCGCCUUGGCCCGGGCCUUUGCCUUUUGGCCUGGCCUUUGCUUUUGCCUUUGCCUUUGCCCUGGCCUUUCAGUUAGAGCUGAGGUUGAAAGGAUUCAUGAUGUUAUUUGAACAGGGUUUAAUUCAUCCUUGCCAGGGUGUUUUAUAUGAUAAACAAAUUUGAAGUUAGUAUGACUGCAAAUCCACAUUCCAUUUUUAUGCAUCUUGGGAGAAAUGUUUUUCUCCUUGUUUCAGUUCUGUAUUUUAUUUUCUCUUUAGGGAGAUCCCAACCAAUUAUAGAUAGGGUUUUACAUGUCUUCUAAUUACGACAGAAUAGAAUUGGGGAAAGCCUACAAGGGAAACAGACCAAAUGAGGAACAGAAUGCUAUCCGUGGAUGUAAAGGCUUUCGUGGAAUUAGCAAUGGCUGCCAGAAUACCGGAUUAACAUUCCCAUCUGAAAAUGCGCU